UUCUCCUUCGUUCUAGAUUGGAUCUCCCUUUGACAUGCUUCCAUCUGUUGUUCUUGUCCUGCCCUCAAGUGUCAUCCAAUGUCUCCAGCGGAUAUAUCAACUAUUGCUGUGAUCCAUCGUAACUUUCAACCAGAUAUUAAGCCGAGAGCUACAUUCUUCAACUUACAACCAUUCAUUUGGUGACCUUACAUUCAACUUACAUUCCUCAGCUUACAACCAUUCCUUAACUACAUUCCUCAAUUUACAACCAUUCCUCAACUAUUCAGUUCUCCUCAACUUACAACCAGUGAUACUGAAAAUCCUUGCGGGACCGCAGUUCAUUUGGUUUUCUGGAAAGUUCAAGCGAAUCUGAUAAUGGAAGAAGAUUGGAGUCUCUGUCUCUCUGUCUCCCUUUCUCGGUCUCUUCUUUUCCCCCACUCCCCAAUGCAAAUUACUUUUCUGUUUCAUUGCACAGAAGCCCUAUUACUGUAUAGGACUGGAAACCAAAGCAGAUGGAAUAGAUAAAACAGCAAAAAAAAAAACAGAUGGGGAAAAGUUUCACUCGUACAAUAAAAAUAAUGUUUUGAUGAUAUUUUGGGGAAA